rnacentral:tRNA from 1 species
GCGGUGGUGGCGGAAUUGGUAGACGCGCUAGCUUGAGGGGCUAGUGAGCAUUGCGCUCGUGGAGGUUCAAGUCCUCUUCACCGCA